UUGUAUUAAAUAUAAAUAUCAGAUUACUUAGAUAUAGGUUGUGCAAUAAAAAAUAAAUAAAAUUUAAUGAAAUUUAAGUUAAUUAUUUAUUUUAAUAAAUUUAGUUACGAGAAAGAAAUAAAGUAUUCAAAUAAAUUUGAAAAUUUAUAUUUGUAAAAUCUUUUGGAAUGAACAUAUAUAGUGGAUCGUCUUUUAAUUUUAACAAUUACGAUAUUUUAUAAAAUUUAUAAAUAUUUAACGGUAUUCUUGUCUAUAUCUAUAUAUCUAUUUUUUAUAUAAUCUUUGAUUGUGGAUUUGUCAUAUCACUUUUCGCACGUGGCAGGGCAGAAGUAGGAAAAUGAGCGGAACAUGGUGGGAAGGGGGUUGGGUGUUGGGCUGUGUGUGUGUGGGGGGCGGAAAAGGUGGGGUGUUGGGUGCGGAGAUCAUCGUAUGUGUGUUGGCAUGGAGUAGGAAGGCGGCUGGACAGAGCAGGAAGUGGGCGGUGGGUGUUGGGUUGUGUGUUCGGGGGGCGCGAGGGGGGGAGUAGUUUUGGAGGUAUGGGAGGGGGCCCUCGGCGCCGGUGGCAGAUGGGGGGAGGGGAGGGAAGACAGGCCGAGAAGGGGGUGGGCACACAGGGUGGGAAGGGCCUGGUGUUGAGUGUGUGUGUGGGGGGGGGGAGGGUCAGGUGGGCGCAGGAGCGGGAAUAGGGUGGCUAUGGGUGAUGUGUGUGUGUCGCUGUCUAGGGGCAGACAGAGCGGGAAGGGGGUGGGUGUUUCAGAUCUACCGCCUUUUAUCAUUUUAAUGCUUAUUUAUUAUUCGAACAACCACCCAUUCAGACACCUUAGAGAACCACAAUCAUCUGUAACCGUACAUCUCUUAAUCGCAAUGGCAAAUUUAUAAGCACUACUAACUUAGUACUUUUAAAAGAUAGAAGCGCUGUAUACAUAUAAAUGUAUAUAUGUAUGUACUACAUAUUAUACAUACAAUAUAUAUAUAUACAAUACAUACUUACUACAUUUAUAUAUACAUAUAUAUAUAUAUAUUAUAUAUAUAUUACAUAUAUUAUAUAUAUUAUACAUAUAAUAUAUAUAUUAUACAUAUAUAUAUAUUAUAUAUAUAUAUACAAUAAUAUACUAUUAUAUAUACAUAUAUACACUACAUAUAUAUAUUAUAUCAUAUAUACAUGCCAUAUAUAUAUAAUAUAUAUAUAUACAUACAUUGCAUAUAUAUAUAUAUAUACUGCAUAGUAAUAUAAUUAUUAUAAUAUAUACUAUAAUAUAUAUAUAUACAUACUAUAUAUAUACAUAUAUUGAUAUAUAUACAUACAUAUAUAUAUAGACUACAUUAUAUAUAACAUACAUUUAUAUAUAUUAUUACAUACAUAUAUAGUAUACAUACAUUAUAUAUAUAUAUAUAUAUGUAUAUAUAUAUAUAUAUAAUAUACCAUAUAGAAUUAGGCUGAGGUGGAAUACUAUUAAUAGUAUUUAAACCUAUUUGCUUAUCAAGUUUUUAAUCUUUGGAUGAAAAAUUAUAGAGUCAAGUGAUAUUAGUCGGUUUUAGAGUUGAGUGAUCCCUCUAGGUUGAGUGCGUCUCGGCUGGGGGUUAUAGUAUUGUAAUCAAAUGAGAAAUAAUGAAAAAGUUUGCAUCAAAGGCUAAAACUGGUAGCCAACAAUGAGGAUUUUUGCUACUAAUAGGUAGGCCCAGUGCAAAACUCGAAUAUAUAUAUAUUAUAGUUAUAUAUAUAUUAUAUAUAUAUAUAUAUAUAUAAAGCACUUUUUUGCUACUUAUAAGUUUUUCGGACCGUUUAGGAUUAAAAUGAUGCGUUAGGAAAUGAAAGUGGUUACAGCGUUUAGGUCUGAUAGUGGGUCCCUAGGUAUUGAGUGGGUGCUGUUGGUUGAUUUGAAUAAGUUAUAAUUACUAACGGGUGGGAAAAAUAAUGAAAGGGCAGAUCUAACGGCCAAAAAAUUAUGAAGUACAAUAGGCUCUAUACUCAUAAAGUAUAGUAAGCGGACAUAUAUAUAUAUAAUAUAUAUAUAUAUAUAAUAUAUAUAUAUAGAGUUGGACUGGGCUACUAUUAGUAGCAAAAUCCCAUUGUUGCUACUAGUUUUUUAGCCUUUGGAUCAACUCUUUUUAUUAUUUCUAAUCAUUGGAUUAACCCAAUGGGGACCACUCAACCCUAGGGGAACCACUCAAGUCUAACCGACUAAUAUCAUCCUGACCCUACAAUUUUUCAUCCAGGGGUUAAAAACUUGAUAGCAAAAAGAGUGUCUUAUUAUUAAUAGUAUUCCAGCUUAAUUCUAUAUAUAUAUAUAUAUAUAUAUAUAUAUACACACACACACACACACAUACAUAUGUAUGUACAUAUGUAUGUAUAUAUGUAUGUAUGUAUAUAUGUAUAUAUAUAGAAUAUGCUACUAUACUAUCAAUAGUACCAAGCCCUUGAUACUAUUGAGUUUUCGGCCGUUGGAUGAAAGAUGUGCGGUUAGGAUGAUAGUGGUCCCCUAGGGUUGAGUGGGUGGUUGGUUUAAUAAUAUAAUCUAACGGAUAGAAAUAAUCAAAGGGUAGAUCUAACGGUAGAAAACUCAAUAGUAUCAAGGGCUUGAUACUAUCAAUAGUAUAGUAACCGAACUCUCUCUCUCUCUCUCUCUCUCUCUCUCUCUCUAUAUAUAUAUAUAUAUAUAUAUAUAUAGAUAUAUAUACAUAAAUACAUAUAUAUACACACAUAAAUACAUAUAUAUACAUACAUACAUAUAUAUAGAGUUGAGCUAGAAUACUCUCGAGAGUAAACGGGUCCGUUUACUCUCGAGUUGUUUUCGAUGAUAGAGCCUCCAAAUUGACAAUCGGCUCCGUUAAAUAUGAUCUAAACCAUUUAAACUAUCUAGAAAUCAGAUUUCACGCACUUUCGAUAUUGUUUUAUAUCCAUCUAGUGAACAGAAAAAUGAAUGGCUGAAAAUGAAUAUUCUUUAAAAAAUGAUAAUAGGAGUAUUGUAAUCAAGAUCAAGAGUAUAGAUCUUGUUUUAAAUAGUUUAAAAAAUUUUCUAACAAAAAUUCAAUUGAUUUGGAUAUCUUUACACCGUUAAACGAGAAAACGUCUCUUAUCCACCAUUAAAAUUACAAAUUUUGAAACCCUUUGAUCAUUAGGCAAAUGAUGUCGAAAAGAUUUGAAAUUUGAUUUCUAAACACUUCAAGUGGUAUAAAUCAUGUUCAACGGNAAAAAAACACGUGGCGGCCAGGGGAGGAGGAUCGGUAGGGGGAGGGGGGAACGGGGCGUGGGGCCCACGUUUUUUUAUUUUUAUUUGUUUUCAUAAUUUUUUAUACUUGAAAUUUUAAUUAUUUGUAUUAAAUAUAAAUAUCAGAUUACUUAGAUAUAGGUUGUGCAAUAAAAAAUAAAUAAAAUUUAAUGAAAUUUAAGUUAAUUAUUUAUUUUAAUAAAUUUAGUUACGAGAAAGAAAUAAAGUAUUCAAAUAAAUUUGAAAUUUUAUAUUUAAAAUCUUUUGGAAUACCCAUAUAUAGUUGAUCGUCUUUUAAUUUUAACAAUUAGAUAUUUUAAAAUUUAUAAAUAUUUUAACGUAUUC
rnacentral:lncRNA from 1 species